rnacentral:misc_RNA from 1 species
UUGCGGCUGGAUCACCUCCUUUCUGGAGAUCUCGAGUAAGCGACGGUUUACCGUCCGCGGAAAGAGCUCCGGUGUCGCCCGCACUCGUCCACGAUCCGUCGUUCCAUUAUUUCAUUGCAUUCGUUGCCAGGCCGGCGCUCGCGCCGUGGGCCUCGUGAUGACGCUCUUUGACAAUCGUAGGUCCGGAUGGGGCGAACGCAUUCUUCGGAAUGCCGUUCGCGAACAAAUGUUGAGGAAUCAACACCGUAGAAGUUUGUAGUGUGGCGGCCGCAAGGCUGCCAUAUCAGCGUAAUAGAUCGAGAUCAAACGCAAUAAGGCGCACGGUGGAUGCCUUGGCAUCGAGAGGCGAUGAAGGACGUGAUAAGCUGCGAUAAGCCUG